AAUCGUCGAGUCAAGCUAUAAGGUGCCACAUUUGUUGCUAGAGCCACUACGAUAAAAAUACAGUUCGAUUUACAACAUUAAACAUUCAAAAAUAAAUAAAACAAGUAUAUAAAAAGAUUCAUAUUCACUUUCGGGUCCUAAACGAGCUUAAGAAAGCUCUAAUGCUAACCCAAAGUCAAAUUAGGACUAAACUGUAAUGUUUUCAAAGUUUGGAGUUGACGUCAUGACGUUGAGGGUUUCUCAUCAUGAUGAGACAUAUUGACUUAGCCUCCCCACAGCAACCAUUGCUCGACGUCGUGGCAUGGCAUAAAGACCUAAUCUCGUCGUGACGAAAAAUACUUGACGUCGUGACGUGAUAAGCUAUUUCUAAAAUAUCAAAGUGACACCAACCUACAAUUAACUAAAACAACCAACCUAUAUUUUCAAUCACAUUUCCCAGCCAAAAACUAAACAUCAACAAGUUCAGUUCCAAACCUUUAUAUUACACCUGUAAAAUUUCAUUUGUAAUUUAACUAUUUAACCGAUUCCAUUCAUCAAAUAGACAUUAUUCAUGGUUUUUAACUACAUUAAACAAGUAAUAUGGGUCCACACUUCAUUUUACCAUAACAUAAUAUUGUUCCAUACAUUUCAAACUCUAUAGUGAACUUAAAUUCACAUUUAAAACCAUUAGCUACUUGCAAAAGAUCAAUUCAAGCUUCAAUCAUCCACAUAAACACAUAUUUUACCCCAAAAAAACUCAAUCUAGGUACAUGCCAUACUAAAAACAAUAUGAUAUUUAUACAAACUUUACUGAGUCCCCUGGAUGUUAGAUCUAAUACUGGAACUCUUAGGAAUCUUUUAUACCUGUGCACGGAGAAAACAAAUCGUACGCUGAGCGAAAACGUUCAGUGGUAUUUCCAUGAUUCAAUAUAAUAUAAAACAAGCUGAAUAAAGUCACACAUUCAAAUAGUAACAUAUUCUCAAGCCAUUUUAUGUCAUACCUCUUCAUUUUCAUAUGAUCAAGCAUUUAAUCAAUUUUACACGCCAAUUCAUAAACUUAUUCAUGCCAAAUCUACUGCUACAUAACUUGCACAUUUUCAUUUGACACAUCAAUUCAUCAUAUAAGUACCUAAACAGGUUAUCCAUGUUAUUCUUCAUUUAGUACCAUUCCUUCAAUUGUAACAAGUUAACCAAUAACUUAUCACAAUAACCAAUUCACAUAAUUAAACUAUGCCAUCUAAAUUUAUAUGUAUAUUUACCAUAUCACCCUUUACACAUUUCACAUUAUCAUUCGUAAGAAUUUUAUCAUCAAUUUGUAUUUAUAAACAUAUGCAUAUAAUCUAUUCCAUGUUACCAUUUCAAUUAUCCCCUAUCCUCUAAACUCAUUCAUAUUCAAUCAGCCCUUAGGGCUUGUUUUCAAAUUGUCUCACCCGGUCUUUCACAUGUUGUCAUAUUUUAAAAUUUAGUAUUGUUUCAUUUCAUAUAUCAAUUAACCAAUUCGUCUAUUUAUAAAUCUAUUAACUAGACACAGACUUAGAAUGGAUACGCAUAUCCGUCACCUUAGGUUGCCUGACAACGAUGACGCUAUACAUGUACAUGCUAGCACCCCGAGUUGCCCAACAACUAUGAUUUUCUUAAUCUGUCUAAUCUGUCAUCUCAGGUUUUUCAGAAAUGCUAACUCUAUGUGUACAAUCUACCACCUCGGGUUGCCCGGCAAUGAUGGUUUUCAGUCAAUAAUUUGACCUUAUGGCAUGCCAACUAUAUUCGACUUGGCCCGAGCAAUUUUCAGUCAAUAAUGCUCAAUUCAUCAUCAGUUCAUCGAUGUUUCAUAAUUUUAAUCAUCAUAUAACACGUUUCAAUACAAUUUUAUAACAAUGAUCAUGUAUUAAUCAAAUCAUACUAUUUUCUAUUCUAUUUAAUUUAAUCCUUGUCUCAAUAUUCUAUCUGUAAUAGUCCAUUUUCAGUGAAAUCAAAAUAGUUUCGGAACAACAAAUUCAAUGAGUAAAUUAUUAUUUUAUUAUUAUUUUAAUGUUUACGAGAUUAUGUUUAAAUCAUAUUAAAAUUUCGUUAAGAAAUUUUGAUGUUUAAGUAGUUAAUUAAGAAAAAAGGGCUAAAUCAUAAAAUGAGUAAAAGUUGAGUUCUAUUAAUUAAAAGGGUCUAAUGGUUAUGAAAAUCUAAGUAAAUGGAUUUAAAUGGUAAUUGUAAUAUUCUUGAGUCUAGUGGACAAUUAUGGACAUAGUUUAAGUGAAUUCUAAUGUUAAUGUCAAAGGUUAGUUUUGUAAUUUGAUAAAUAAAAUAAAAUUAAAACAAAGAAAAGAUGGUAUCAUCUUUCUAAUUGAUUUCACCCACUGAAAUAUUUAAGAAAAAAACACCAUUUUUGGUGCUUUGAAGGUUCAGUUGGCAUUGUUCUUGCAUGUUAGUAUUUUUUUAGGUUAGUUUUUAAUGAUUUAUAUGUUUUUUAGAUCAUUUUAACUUAAUCUAACUAAUCCGGGGGUCAAUUUGUAAAACUGUUAAAGGUUGAGGGCUAUGCCAUGAAUGUUUUUGAAUAGGUUGUGAUGUUAAAUGAUAGAUUAUGAACCUUUGUUGAGAGAUAAACAAGUUUUGUGAAGUGAUUUUUGAUGAAAAUGGCAUUUAGGGACUAAUUAAAGGCAUUAAUUCUAGGGUUUUAUUGUGAUAUGAGUUUUUUUAAGGUUCCUUGAAAGUUAGAUUAAUAUGGAUAUAGAUGGAAAUGGUUAGAUUUUAAGUAAUUAGCUUAAGGACUAAAUUGUGAAAAGUUAAAAUGUUAGGGGUAAAAUAGUAAUUAUGUAUAAAUGUGAAUUAUGGAUUUAAUUGAAUGUUGAGGUUAAUUGAAUAUAAUUUUCUAUUUAGAUCAAGAUAAGCCUCAACCAAAUCUAAAUCAAGAAAAGACGAAAGCUAUAGAUUAGCUCGAUCAUAUUUCUACGCCUUAGUCGUCAAGGUAAGGUCGUAUGAACAAUUAUCAUAUUAAUUUUAUUUACAUUGCUUGUUAUUAUGUUAAAUAUUUUGCAAAGGGAUUAAUAUGUGAACAUAUCAAUGCUAUGAUGAAUUAACGGAUAACGAGUCCUGGUUGAACCUUAGGAAUUCAUAAGUUACAAAUGAUAUGUCAUUAGGGAUUUCAUGUUUCAGGUGUUGGUCUUGAAUGCCCUACCAAUGGCUGAGGUCCUACAUUUGUUGCGGAUACUCAAAUUCUCUUUUUUGGAAGGUAGAGAGGUAAAGCUUCAGGGUUCUAAGUAUUGUAGAAGGUUAACCAACUCAUAAUGGACAUUCUAAUGUUCCUUUGGAUACCAGAGCUAUGGAGAUUAUGUGCAAGGAAGAAUGUAAAUGGGAUAUGUCUACUGUUUCUUGUAGAUUAAUUAUAGAACGCUUGCUAAAAUAUUAAAGAUCCCAGUUUAUAACAUUCAAGAGGAAGACAGACUGGUAUGGUUGUUUAAUAAGAAAUGAGUCUAUACUGUCAAAUCGAGCUACCAGGUUUUAAGAAAGAGCAGUAGAAGCAAAUUGGUGAUAAAGCCUUCAAGUUAUCACAAUGUUGACACUAAAGCGUGGAAUGCUCUUUCGAAGAUGGAAGUUCCUAGUAAACUAAAAAUUUUCUUUUGGAAACUCUGCUCAAACGUUAUCCCAUUGAAAGUUAAAUCUUUGGGGAAGAAAAUGUUUGCCAAGCCCAUUAUGCUCUCUGUGUUAGAUUGAGGAGGAUACUAUUGAAUAUAUCUUUUUUUUGGCUAUAAUUGGGUUAAGGGCAUUUGGUUUGAAUGUUGCUUUAUUUUAUGAAUUCAUAAAUAGUAUAUUAAUUCUCUCAAUUGUUGGUUUACUUAUAUUUUGGUGUAUGUUGGUCAUGUUGAUGGUUUAAUUACCAGAAUUGUCUUUAUAUGUUGGAUUAUUUGGAAAGUUUAUUGUGAGGUUAUCCUUGUGGUAAAUGGGUGGAUAUUAGUGGUGCUAUUCAUAGAAUCAGACUUAGGACUCAAGAGUAUUUGGACUGUAAGGAUGAACAUGUGGUUGGAAGGGAUAUCAAACAUGACUCUAUGGAAAGAGAAGUUUGGGUUAGAUUAAAAAUAAUUGUGAUGGUACGGUGGAUAUAAAAUACGGGAAAUCAAGUAUUGGUAUUAUUUGUAGAUGAUUUGUUCUUGAUGGAGCUGAUUAAAAUGUUGUUGUUGAUAAAGUUGAAAUAGUAGAGCCCUUGGCUAUCACUAAAGGGGAUGAGGUUGCGAUUAAUAAUGAAUAGGAAAAUGUGAUAUUAAAGACUGAUUCUCUAAUUGUAGAUAAUGAAAUUAAGAAAAUUGAGGCUAAUAGGAAUUGAAAAUUACAGCUGAUUGUAAAAAGAUUUGACGUUUUGAGGAAUCAACUCAACAACAUUUUAAUCUAGAGGAUCAAAACGGGUUUUAACAAAGCUGCAGAUUGGGUAGCUAAGCAUUCUAAAAAGGAGAUGCGUAUUGAGGGUUGGGUUCACCAACGACCAUCUUCUUUGGUUUUUAUUUAGGAUAAAGACGGCUUGCCAGCUUCGCCUAAUGUCUAUUAUGCUUUUAUCUAAUAUCUGUAGAGUUGACUAAGUGUCUGCUUUUAUAAGAUUAUUAGAUUAUGUUUUGUUAAGUUGUAAAUCCUUUAUGUGAUACUUUGAGUUUUUAUAAUUAAUCAAUAUUGAUAUCCUUUUGGCCAAAAAAAUGGAAAUGUCACACCACAAAACUAGCGGAUCUUAGGAGAAGGAGUGUAGAAUGAAGUUAUUUGUUUGGCGUAGUAUAGUUCGCCAAUCAACAGUUUUCUAGCAGAUUAAAGUUUGGCAUAAAGUAUUCGUCGUAUAAGUAAUUAAAGAUUUUAUCUCACAAUAUUCUGCUAUUUAAGAAACUUGUAUGACAAGCGAAGUGUAAGUUUGAUGGGAAUUACCACCAAAUUUAUAGUACGCCUAGUUUGCCUAAGCACUAUGCUAAUUGGGUUUUUGUAACGUGAUCUAGUUAGAAGCCAAUUGAAUUGAUUGGUCAAAUAACAUAUGUACAUGAUUCUUAUUUAUAUUUCUCCCAGAUUUGUAGGUCAUUUAUUAAGACAAAUUCGGAUACAAUUAACACUUGUCAAGUUCUACUAAGGGGAACUGGGUGUAUAUAUAUUGUGAAAAGAGUUUGUCUGGAUGGUUUUUCUUCCCUCAAUAUUACUCUCUGGUUCUUCUUAUUAAAAUUAUAUGUUUUCUUCUCCUUUAUUAAGCUGGAAUCUAAGGUUUUUGAAUUAAUCAGUGGAUGUUCCACCUUCUGGUAAGUUUGAUAGCUCUGCAUGUUAAGUUUUUAAAAGAAUAAAGAUAUUAAGAAGCAUAUGAAUAGUAAGUUACGAAUAAGAAGCCCUGUAUGUGGUUGUCUGUAAUUGAGAUGUUAGCAGUUUGUUUGUAAAUGAGUUUUAAUGGUGGUUCCAUGUUUUUUAAGCAAUUGUUGCAGCCGGUUCGAGAGGGAUGUUCAAGUUUGAAACUCCAAGUUACAGUCUAGGCGAGUAUUAGAUGAGUUUUUAUCUUGGCUCUUACAUGUGGACUAUUCAAUUGGAGAUAUGUAUGAUGAUAAUAUUUUAGACAAUCGGUAGGUGUUUAUAUGAAGUAAUGUAAAGAUUUUGCAUGAGUAAGGAUAAUAUGUGAGAGGUACUAUUUGAGUAAGAAGUUAUAUAAGUUUUCAUGUGAUAUCUAAUAUGAGAAAGUAAGAAUCAGUUAGGUAUGUGAACAAAUAUGGGUAAGUAACUUUUGAGUAAAACAUCCCUUUUGUGAUGCAUAUGGUAGGGUAGUUAUAUUGCUAACUAGACUGACAAAUCACGAUAUGAAGAUAUGCGUAAGUCUAUGUGGUAGAGACCCAUGACAUUAUAUGACAAUGAAAACACUUAUGCUAUUGCCUCCAGUGAGAUGAAGACUGGACUAGCAGAUCACAACAUAAGGAUGUGUAAGUCUAUGUGGUUGAGACCCAUGGCAUAAUAUGAUAAUAAAAUUACUCAUGGUGAUGCCUUCAGUAAUAUGUAAACUGGACUGAAAGAUCACGACAUGAAGAUAUGUGUAAGUCUAUGAGGGAGAAACCCAUAGCACCUACUAUGAAAGUCCGUUGGGACUGUAAACACAUCAUUCUGUGUGUUGCCCCAUAACAACUUCUAUGAAAGUCUGUCGGGACAGUAAACACAUGAUUUUGUGUGUUGCCCCAUGACACCUUUUGUGAAAGUCCGCUGGGACAAUAAACUCGUGAUUUUGUGUGUUGCCUAUAUGGCGUGAUCUGCUAAGCCUUAGUGACGUACUCUAUGUAGCCUUUGUGGAGAAUUCUAAAAUGCCUAUGUGGUGUAUUCAGGGAUGCCUACGUGACAGAAUCUAGUUAUCUGCCUUUGUGGUAAGAUCUGGGUAAGUUAUGAGAUUUCUCCGAUAGAUAAUUCUAUGAUAAGGAUCUGAUACGUCUAAAGUUAACUUGGUUUGGUUAGCCUUGUGAUGAAAUUGAAUUAGUCUUAAGGGACGUUUCUUAAAAGAAAGUAUGUAUCUAUAUUUCUAAAGAGGGAAUCCACCAUAGUAGUCUGCGAGUAUAGGAUAUGAGCGUAUUUGCAGUUAUGAGAGUAUAAGUGUUCGUUGGUCUGAGUUCGUCUACGCUAUGUAGGGUUCAAAUUUGAGUUUUUUGGUAUAUGCCAUAUCUGAAUAGUAUCAUGUCUCAUUCUGGGGUUAUUUGAAAUCUGAUUUGUUUGUCAAUUUAGUUGUUCUUGUGUUAUGUAACAUAGACAUUUGGAAUUCUUCUAAAUGAUCUAGAACGUUUCAUCAUCAGUAUGAGUUUGUUUGGGUUUGAAUCAGGAUAUGAUCUAAUUGGUAGUCUGAUAGUCAUCAAACUCAGUAUGAGAAUCCGACAAAUGUAAGAUUAGUGAGUAAGUAUUCGUCGAGGAAUAAUAUCUGUGAACAACCAUUCUGGGAAAAAUAUUAAAUGUUGUUCGAAGAGGAAAUCCGUUGAAAGUGGGCUCUGUAUAGAAAUUCUUUUGAGAAGUACCUUCGUUGUUCUAAGAGAAAAGAAUAUAUAUAUAUAUAUCAUCUAGUAAGAUCUAGAUUUAGCUAAUGAGUGAAGUGAGAGUUGAUACGUUAAGUAUGACAAUUGGCGUAUAAGUGUAUGUUCGAUAUUAUGAAUGUAUCCACCAAAGACAAAGUGGUAAUCCAAAAUCUGCAGGAUGAAGAAUUUAACUAGAAAGGUUCCAAGGUAUUUUGUAUUAAAACUCACUAAGUUUGCGUGAAUUUACAAGUGUUUUGUUCAUGUUUUAGGUGUUGCUGUAAGAAUGAGUACGCCGGGAGAGACCAAACUAAGAAUGUAUUAGGGAAACCACAAGUUGGGUUAUUAUGCAUGCAAAAGACAUUUUAGGAAUAUGGUGUAUAGUACAGUACACCAAGAUUAGUUUGUCUUUAUUGGGCUUUUGUGUUGUAAUGUCUUACAUUAUUUUAAUUUUUUUUUGUAUUUUUAGAUGUUUUCUUUAUUUCUUUUAUUCAAAAAUUAUUUAAUAAUACAAAAAGGGAUAUAUUGAAAAGGGAUUAUACACAGAUUGUUUAAAUAUUUAUGUCAAGUAUUUGUAUGUCAUAACAUUCGAUAUCUGAACUCAGUGAUUUGAGUCGGGGUAGAGACUGAUAUAGGAAAAACAUUAAAAUCAAGAUAAAUAUAAUAAUGACAUUGGCAGUAAUGAGAUUUUUACUAUAAUAACAACAAUGGUAGUUAAAGAAAGAUGAAAACUUGCAGUGUGGGUGAUGUAGGUUCAUCGACUCAUCCCUCCUUCC
rnacentral:lncRNA from 1 species